GGUCAAGUGAAGAAGCGCAUACGGUGGAUGCCUUGGCAGUCAGAGGCGAUGAAAGACGUGGUAGCCUGCGAAAAGCUUCGGGGAGUCGGCAAACAGACUGUGAUCCGGAGAUGUCUGAAUGGGGGAACCCAGCCAUCAUAAGAUGGUUAUCUUGUACUGAAUACAUAGGUGCAAGAGGCGAACCAGGGGAACUGAAACAUCUAAGUACCCUGAGGAAAAGAAAUCAACCGAGAUUCCCUUAGUAGUGGCGAGCGAACGGGGACCAGCCCUUAAGUUGUAUUGAGAUUAGCGGAACGUUCUGGAAAGGACGGCCAUAGUGGGUGAUAGCCCUGUACGCGAAAAUCCCUUUGCAAUGAAAUCGAGUAGGACGGGGCACGAGAAACCUUGUCUGAAUAUGGGGGGACCAUCCUCCAAGGCUAAAUACUACUGACUGACCGAUAGUGAACCAGUACCGUGAGGGAAAGGCGAAAAGAACCGCGGAGAGCGGAGUGAAAUAGAUCCUGAAACCGUAUGCGUACAAGCAGUGGGAGCCCACUUUGUUGGGUGACUGCGUACCUUUUGUAUAAUGGGUCAGCGACUUAUUUUCAGUGGCGAGCUUAACCGAAUAGGGGAGGCGUAGCGAAAGCGAGUCUUAAUAGGGCGUCUAGUCGCUGGGAAUAGACCCGAAACCGGGCGAUCUAUCCAUGGGCAGGUUGAAGGUUGGGUAACACUAACUGGAGGACCGAACCGACUACCGUUGAAAAGUUAGCGGAUGACCUGUGGAUCGGAGUGAAAGGCUAAUCAAGCUCGGAGAUAGCUGGUUCUCCUCGAAAGCUAUUUAGGUAGCGCCUCAUGUAUCACUGUAGGGGGUAGAGCACUGUUUCGGCUAGGGGGUCAUCCCGACUUACCAAACCGAUGCAAACUCCGAAUACCUACAAGUGCCGAGCAUGGGAGACACACGGCGGGUGCUAACGUCCGUCGUGAAAAGGGAAACAACCCAGACCGUCAGCUAAGGUCCCAAAGUCAUGGUUAAGUGGGAAACGAUGUGGGAAGGCUUAGACAGCUAGGAGGUUGGCUUAGAAGCAGCCACCCUUUAAAGAAAGCGUAAUAGCUCACUAGUCGAGUCGGCCUGCGCGGAAGAUGUAACGGGGCUCAAACCAUGCACCGAAGCUACGGGUAUCAUCUUUUGAUGAUGCGGUAGAGGAGCGUUCUGUAAGCCUGUGAAGGUGAGUUGAGAAGCUUGCUGGAGGUAUCAGAAGUGCGAAUGCUGACAUGAGUAACGACAAUGGGUGUGAAAAACACCCACGCCGAAAGACCAAGGUUUCCUGCGCAACGUUAAUCGACGCAGGGUUAGUCGGUCCCUAAGGCGAGGCUGAAAAGCGUAGUCGAUGGAAAACAGGUUAAUAUUCCUGUACUUCUGGUUAUUGCGAUGGAGGGACGGAGAAGGCUAGGCCAGCCUGGCGUUGGUUGUCCAGGUUUAAGGUGGUAGGCUGAGAUCUUAGGUAAAUCCGGGAUCUUAAGGCCGAGAGCUGAUGACGAGUGUUCUUUUAGAACACGAAGUGGUUGAUGCCAUGCUUCCAAGAAAAGCUUCUAAGCUUCAGGUAACCAGGAACCGUACCCCAAACCGACACAGGUGGUUGGGUAGAGAAUACCAAGGCGCUUGAGAGAACUCGGGUGAAGGAACUAGGCAAAAUGGCACCGUAACUUCGGGAGAAGGUGCGCCGGUGGAGGUGAAGCAUUUACUGCGUAAGCCCCUGCCGGUCGAAGAUACCAGGCCGCUGCGACUGUUUAUUAAAAACACAGCACUCUGCAAACACGAAAGUGGACGUAUAGGGUGUGACGCCUGCCCGGUGCCGGAAGGUUAAUUGAUGGGGUUAGCGCAAGCGAAGCUCUUGAUCGAAGCCCCGGUAAACGGCGGCCGUAACUAUAACGGUCCUAAGGUAGCGAAAUUCCUUGUCGGGUAAGUUCCGACCUGCACGAAUGGCGUAACGAUGGCGGCGCUGUCUCCACCCGAGACUCAGUGAAAUUGAAAUCGCUGUGAAGAUGCAGUGUAUCCGCGGCUAGACGGAAAGACCCCGUGAACCUUUACUAUAGCUUUGCACUGGACUUUGAAUUUGCUUGUGUAGGAUAGGUGGGAGGCUUUGAAGCGUGGACGCCAGUUCGCGUGGAGCCAACCUUGAAAUACCACCCUGGCAACUUUGAGGUUCUAACUCAGGUCCGUUAUCCGGAUCGAGGACAGUGUAUGGUGGGUAGUUUGACUGGGGCGGUCUCCUCCUAAAGAGUAACGGAGGAGUACGAAGGUGCGCUCAGACCGGUCGGAAAUCGGUCGUAGAGUAUAAAGGCAAAAGCGCGCUUGACUGCGAGACAGACACGUCGAGCAGGUACGAAAGUAGGUCUUAGUGAUCCGGUGGUUCUGUAUGGAAGGGCCAUCGCUCAACGGAUAAAAGGUACUCCGGGGAUAACAGGCUGAUACCGCCCAAGAGUUCAUAUCGACGGCGGUGUUUGGCACCUCGAUGUCGGCUCAUCACAUCCUGGGGCUGAAGCCGGUCCCAAGGGUAUGGCUGUUCGCCAUUUAAAGUGGUACGCGAGCUGGGUUUAGAACGUCGUGAGACAGUUCGGUCCCUAUCUGCCGUGGACGUUUGAGAUUUGAGAGGGGCUGCUCCUAGUACGAGAGGACCGGAGUGGACGAACCUCUGGUGUUCCGGUUGUCACGCCAGUGGCAUUGCCGGGUAGCUAUGUUCGGAAAAGAUAACCGCUGAAAGCAUCUAAGCGGGAAACUUGCCUCAAGAUGAGAUCUCACUGGAACCUUGAGUUCCCUAAAGGGCCGUCGAAGACUACGACGUUGAUAGGUUGGGUGUGUAAGCGCUGUGAGGCGUUGAGCUAACCAAUACUAAUUGCCCGUGAGGCUUGACCAU
rnacentral:rRNA from 1 species